rnacentral:rRNA from 1 species
UGGGGAAUAUUGGACAAUGGGGGCAACCCUGAUCCAGCCAUGCCGCGUGAGUGAUGAAGGCCUUCGGGUUGUAAAGCUCUUUUGGCGGGGACGAUGAUGACGGUACCCGCAGAAUAAGCCCCGGCUAACUUCGUGCCAGCAGCCGCGGUAAGACGAAGGGGGCUAGCGUUGUUCGGAAUUACUGGGCGUAAAGCGAGUGUAGGCGGUUGCCGUAGUCAGGUGUGAAAGCCUUGAGCUCAACUCAAGAAAUGCACUUGAUACUGGGUGACUAGAGGACCGGAGAGGAUAGUGGAAUUCCCAGUGUAGUGGUGAAAUACGUAGAGAUUGGGAAGAACACCAGUGGCGAAGGCGGCUAUCUGGACGGUUACUGACGCUAAGACUCGAAAGCGUGGGGAGCAAACAGGAUUAGAUACCCUGGUAGUCCACGCCGUAAACGAUGGGUGCUAGACGUUGGCGAGCUUGUCGUCAGUGUCGCAGCUAACGCGUUAAGCACCCCGCCUGGGGAGU